CCUCGGGCCAGGUUAUGGAGGAAGGUCCCUGCUCACCCAAGCCUGGAGGCUCUACACCCAGCAGGGCACCUGCUGUAGUUCAGAAAAAGGGAUUUGGCUUCAGUCUUCAGAAUGCAUGGAAGCUGCAAAGAAGAGUGAGUUUAAAUCACAGCAGAAUCAGUCCAGUCUCUGCCAAACCCAGAUUCUAAUUCAGGAGCCUGAACCACAGCAGGAGAAACUAAGUAAUUCUCCUGGUGUAGACACUGAACCUCCCACCAGCCCUGCUCCUAUUCGACAUUUAUUUCCAGAAGAGACCUUUAACUUGAAAGGCUGAUUUUAUGACAAAUUCCGCCUUUCUGAAAAGGAUCAACUUCUCAUUUCGAUCAUGAAGGUCAGCAUCGAUAGUGUCCCAGGAGACAGCAUCAACAGGGCAGAGGUCAAAGAAGCUUUGAGGAAGCAAGGAGGUUGAGAGCAGAGUUGCACCAGGCCGUUCAGAAAGCACAUCUUGAAGAGAUCUCCUGGCUCUAGAGGAAGUAAG
rnacentral:lncRNA from 1 species